rnacentral:rRNA from 1 species
AGCGAGCGUAGGUGGCUUGAUAAGUCAGAUGUGAAAGCCCCGGGCUUAACCUGGGAACGGCAUCUGAUACUGUUAGGCUAGAGUAGGUGAGAGGAAGGUAGAAUUCCAGGUGUAGCGGUGAAAUGCGUAGAGAUCUGGAGGAAUACCGAUGGCGAAGGCAGCCUUCUGGCAUCAUACUGACACUGAGGUUCGAAAGCGUGGGUAGCAAACAGGAUUAGAUACCCUGGUAGUCCACGCCGUAAACGAUGUCUACUAGUCGUUGGGUCCCUUGAGGACUUAGUGACGCAGCUAACGCAAUAAGUAGACCGCCUGGGGAGUACGGCCGCAAGGUUAAAACUCAAAUGAAUUGACGGGGGCCCGCACAAGCGGUGGAGCAUGUGGUUUAAUUCGAUGCAACGCGAAGAACCUUACCUGGUCUUGACAUAUCUAGAAUCCUGCAGAGAUGCGGGAGUGCCUUCGGGAAUUAGAAUACAGGUGCUGCAUGGCUGUCGUCAGCUCGUGUCGUGAGAUGUUGGGUUAAGUCCCGCAACGAGCGCAACCCUUGUCCUUAGUUACCAGCGGUUUGGCCGGGAACUCUAAGGAUACUGCCAGUGACAAACUGGAGGAAGGCGGGGACGACGUCAAGUCAUCAUGGCCCUUACGACCAGGGCUACACACGUGCUACAAUGGUAGGUACAGAGGGCAGCUACACAGCGAUGUGAUGCGAAUCUCAAAAAGCCUAUCGUAGUCCAGAUUGGAGUCUGCAACUCGACUCCAUGAAGUAGGAAUCGCUAGUAAUCGCGGAUCAGAAUGCCGCGGUGAAUACGUUCCCUAGGCCUUGUUCACACCGCCCGUCACACCAACAGAGUAAACACUCCAGUAAGAUCUUGGCUCAGCAAGUCGUAACAAGGUACCCCCUAGAGUG